rnacentral:tRNA from 1 species
GCCGGGAUGGCGGAAUUGGUAGACGCACCUGAUUUAGGUUCAGGCACCGAAAGGCGUGCAGGUUCGAGUCCUGUUCCCGGCA